CCACUCCAUGGGACGCAGCAGUAGGGAAUCUUCCACAAUGGGCGAAAGCCUGAUGGAGCAGCGCCGCGUGGGUGAAGAAGGUCUUCGGAUCGUAAAACCCUGUUGUUAGAGAAGAAAGUGCGUGAGAGUAACUGUUCACGUUUCGACGGUAUCUAACCAGAAAGCCACGGCUAACUACGUGCCAGCAGCCGCGGUAAUACGUAGGUGGCAAGCGUUAUCCGGAUUUAUUGGGCGUAAAGGGAACGCAGGCGGUCUUUUAAGUCUGAUGUGAAAGCCUUCGGCUUAACCGGAGUAGUGCAUUGGAA
rnacentral:rRNA from 1 species